GUCGGAUUUGUUAACCACUGAGCCACAAUGGGAACUCCCGCUCCUAAGAUUUUUUAAAAAGUACGUCAUAAAGGAUUUAAGCUCUGUUGCUGACACAUCCCAUUAGGGAUUCCCUAAUGAGUUACUUCCUGGCAUCCACUUUUGCUGACUCAUUUAUGACAAAGGGCUUGCUGCUAAGACCCCUGUGUCCCUGAAAAAGUUCAGCCCAAGUGAUGUGGCAUUCCACAGUUGCUUAUCAUUUCACAACUUCCCAGAUUUUCUUUGGUUUGGUUGCGGAAUUGGUGGGGAAGCAAAUUCUGGGGACCUAGGGAAUGGAAGGAAUGAGAUGAGCCAAGACUAUGAGCCUAGAUCUGUGUCUUUUAUUUUGGAAACAUAUUCAGAAGUUUACCUUUGAUGAUCACAAAAGCAAAUUGCUAUUAAGAAUGUAUAGCUUGCUCCUUUAAACUUUUAUCCCAUCUGAGGAUUGAGGCAGGGUAAAAGACAAAGUAGCAAAAGGAUACAUGUUCAUGGUAGCCAGAAUCCCAUUCAGCAUAUAUCAUUAUUGUAAACUGGGGGCGAAGAGGUUGUACUUCAUUGCUUUCUGUACCUCCCCAAGAGUAGCUUCCCUGACUUGGAAGAAUUAGUGUCAAGGAUAAAAAAUAGUUUCAAGAUAUGUGAUUGUUCUUGUACUCAUUGUUUUGUUUCGUUUUUAUGCAUCUGUUACUUCAUCUUGUCAUCACUUGCAUUUCUGUAUUUUUUUGUUUCCAUUUAUUUUAAUUUUUUUUUUUUUUUUUUAACAUUUGUUCUCCAAAUCACCAACUCAUCAGCUGCAAUACAUCAGAGAACGUGUCACCAGUUAAGCAGGCUCCACGGAAGUCCCCCUUCGACACAGAGGGUCUAGUAAAGAGCCUGCCUUCUGGAUCUCACCAGGGCCCAGUCAUAUAUGCACAGCUAGACCACUCUGGCGGACAUCACAGCGACAAGAUUAACAAGUCAGAGUCUGUGGUAUAUGCAGACAUCCGGAAAAAUUAAGAGAAGACCCCAGUGACAUCCCAACAAGCAAGAAACAAAUCCAAACUGGACUCUUAUGCAGAAAAUGUAGUCCAUUACCAUGUGUGGCCUUGGAAACGUGGACAAGAACAAGCACAUGUUUAUUCAUAGAGGGAGAAAAAGAUUUGUAUAAAGGAGAUGUAUAAAUAUUCUAUUUAAUCUUCCUGAUGAGAGGAGCCAGUGUUGCAUGAUGACGGGGCGGUAUGAUUCUACGUAUGUGUAAAUUGUCUUGCUGUUUUUGUACUUCCCUUUGGGGUCACUUACAAUUGAGGAAAUUCAGACACAUUCCUGUCACCAUCACUUAGAUGUGGUCUGCCUUAAUGGAGACUGUAGCAGCUCUUUUAGUAUUCUAAUAGACAUGGCCUUUUAAUCUAAGGGCUUAACCCACCUUAGGAUGUCCUGUGGUUGGAGAGUGGCGAUACUAUGGUGGAAGCACCUUCAGGGUGGCCUUUGACCUAGCGUGCCCCCUGUUUGGUGGUGGUUUUUAGAAAACAUCCAUUCUCCAUGCCACCUGAGGACAGUUUGAGAAUUUUUAUUGAUGUUUUUCUCUCUCAAAUACAGGGCAGUUUUUAGCUUUCUAUGUUGUGUAGACAAUAACAUGAUGCCCUUUAAGCAUAUUAUGUCAAUUUGUGGAUUCAUAAUAGCGUGGAACCAAAGCCAGAGGCCACUUCCUUCCAGGUGUUUUUCAAUCAACACCACAGACAUAAUUGACAUAGAGAACCCAGGCCUGGCUUGAGGGGUCCUGUACCAUUGGAGAGCAAAAAGUAUCAGUUAUAUUCUUUGCUCUAGUUCUUCAUACUGGUAACAAGUCCUCAGACAGCCAAAGGAGCAGUGUUUCAUUUCCUUCUGAGAAGGCGGAAAUGGGAUAAUUCAACUGCCAGUCUCUAGUAGCCCAGAGCUCUCUCUAGAGAAUCUUUUUUUUAAUUUUUUUUUUUUUAUUUUUUGGGCCAUGCCUAAGGCUCAUGGGAAGUUCCCAGGCCAGGGAUUGAAUCCCUGCCCAAGCAGUGACCCGAGCUGCCACAGUGACAAGAUCCUUAACCCACUGAGCCACCAGGGAACUCAUAGACACUUAAAAAAAAAAAAAGGGGGGGGGGGACUGAGAAGAGAUUCCCAGCAUUUUUUUUUAUUCCUUUCUCCCUUCCUUCUUUCCUUUUUAUUUCACCCCCUCCCCAGUUACAUGGUAUUGAGAAACAAUAAGAUGAGGAAAAAUAUAGACAAUUUUGGCAUCCUUCUCGGUAACAUUUUUUCCCAUUGACUAUGCCCGACCUACAUCUCAAACCUAUGUGUUUUUUUUUUUAAACUGGGGAUGAAAAGCAUGGUAAAAAUCAUUAAACACUUACGUUCUCAUUUCCCCAUUUUCUGGAUGAUUUUGUUUUAAAAUAAUUUUCUUCAUUUGAAAUUGAAAACCCACAGUUAUGGGAAGAAUGUAGCAAGCCCACAUUCUUGAUAUGUAUAGUUUCCUCACAGUCAUUUUUUAUAGAGAAAAGUGGCUUUCUCCCUUUUCUCCUUUUCUCAGCAGGUCUAAUAAAUCUAUACAUUCCUAACAUGACCUGAUAGCAAGAGCCCUAAUUCCUCUGCAUGUUUGUGAAGCUGCCACCCAGAGCACCAGCCUACACUCCCGCUAAUCAGUUGUCAGCGGGACACCACCCCCGUGCACCUCCUUCUGGGCAUGACCACUCAACCAGAUACCUCAGACUUUAUUUGGCCUUCAUCACCCUCCUCCACCAGGCAAGAGUGGGCCCCUACCGACUCCCAUUCCAUGACCGACUUGUCUGAAGGAGCUGCUCACACGUGAGGCUUUUUCAGAAACUACUCCCACCGGCUCCUGUGGAUCUUUGGCCCUUUUGGUCCUGUGACUCACCAUCUUUGUCCCUGGCCACAGAUGACAACUGUGGUGGUGCUUUCAAAUGCCAGGGCUAUCCUUUCUGUGUCUAAUUACUGGCAGAGACCUCUUAAAAUUACACGAGGUUUUUCUAAGGGGGUGGGGGGGGACCUAAAAGGGAUUACUUAAGAUUAAAAUGGCAAGCUAUCUGUAGUUUUUCAAUGGAAAGGGAUCCGGCUCCAUAAAAAAACCAUCAAGUUCAUGAUUUUCUUUUUCAGUUGUACUUUUGUGAAUAUUUUAAUACAUCUUUUUCAG
rnacentral:lncRNA from 1 species